GACGAACCGUGCGAACGUUAUUCGGAAUCAUUGGGCUUAAAGGGCGCGUAGGCGGCGGUGUAAGUUGGAAGUGAAAUCCCAUCGGCUCAACCGUGGAAUUGCUCCCAGUACUGCAUCGCUCGAGGGGGAUAGGGUUUGCGGAACUACCGGUGGAGCGGUGAAAUGUGUUGAUAUCGGUGGAACGCCAGUGGCGAAAGCGGCAAACUUGACCCUUCCUGACGCUGAGGCGCGAAAGCUAGGGGAGCAACGGG
rnacentral:rRNA from 1 species